rnacentral:lncRNA from 1 species
CUUGCCCGCAGGAUUCCUAGGUAGGUGCGGUAUUUUUCGCGGGCGCUGGUGAUCGGUUUGUGCUGCUGCGGGGAUCAGCUGGGUGGGUGUAGCCCUCGUACUAUGACGGUUUAUUGAGGGUAAAGAACCUUCUAGGCUGUAUUCAUGCUGAGAUCAUUCAGAAAUUGUUUAGCUCAGCCAGCCUCCUUUCUGUCCGCUUUCCUUACGCAGUACCUUGGAAUCUCAGUUAAAAAUGCAUGCUGUCCAAGCACCUUCCUCUCUUAGGUCAAUGGAAUGUGACCUUUAGAAGUUCUUUGCUCUUCACAGACGCCAGCUCAAGCCAGAGGAUAUCUACAAAGAGCAGAGGAGCUAAGAAGAAAAUUCAGUAUGGACAUUUCCUACCUACUUAAUACCAAUAUGAACAAAAAGGGCCUUACAACAUUCUCAUAUACAUACAUACAUACAUACAUAAAUACACACACAUUUAUGCUUUAUGACACCUCCCUCCUUCCAAAUCUGUACCAGUGAACUUGCCUUUAUAUUGUGAUGAGGGUUAACCAUAGAGGUAAGUUUGAAAUAAGGACACAGAGCAUCUUUGACCCAGAAAUUAUCACACAGUUUAACGAUCCUUAUGGAAACAUGCUUAUCUCACCCUUCUCUGUGAGAUACCUUUUACCAUAAUGUGGUUCUCUUGUGGAGUCAGAACUGGGGAGGAAAUUCAUCUUCAGCAGUCAUGGUUGCACAAACUUGCAACUAUGAAACAGCUAUGAUGUUCAACCUCUAACUGGCCCAAGGACCCUGGGAAACAAUCCUGAGCUACCUAGAGAUGUUAGAUUGGUGCUGUUUCAAAAGGAUACAGAAACAAAGUUUAUACAUUAUGUUAAUUUUUAAUGGUGGGGGGAGAUAGGGUGACAGGUGAUAGAGAAAUUAUAAGAAAUGAGAGAAGCUACUCCGAGACCAAUAGCCUUGAGGAAUAGUUUGUGAAACUGAGAACUUCCCCAAGGGUUCUGUUACUGCUUUAUAGAAGCAAGCCUGUUAAUAGACAGGCCCCAGGGCAACUGCAGUAUAGUAAAGAAGGACUCUGGUUGACUGCUCCUGUAUCUGGGGGAAGCCAUUGCUAUCCUUGAGAAAGAAAAGGUGGAGGUGGAGAGUGGCUAUCAGCCUGUCAGUGACAUCACAUUCUGUGAAGUCUUGUCUUUCACUUGUGACACAGUGGGUCUUCCAUCUGUCCUAAACCUGGCAGCCUUGUUAAGGAUCAGAAAACAUCUUCUCCUAUAUGACAGUAGGAUAGGAAUUAUUAGCAGGAUAGAAUCCAUUCCUGCCAGAGGAAAAACAAGAAAUCAGUUUUUACUACCUUAUUACUUUCAAUAGACUGUCAGAUUCUAUAUUCUCUAUUUUGUACAUGGCGCAUUGAUUAACAAUCCUUGGUUAAAAUACUUUAGUUUCACGUAGUGUGUAUAUAUGUUUACAUUUACAGCUGUAUCAAGUCUUUUUGUCCUAUUAAAAAACAAUAUAUUCUACU